UCCCAUAGGAACGAUUUCAUCGCCCUAAGAAGCAGAACGCGCCAUCACCUACAGCCCUUUCCUCUGCCGGGGACUUUCACGAAAUGA
rnacentral:rRNA from 1 species